GGAUAACCCGGAGAAAUCCGGCCUAAUCCCGCAUGUGGCCGAGGGGAGGCAUCUUCUUUCGGCCAAAGGAGGCGACUCCGGAGACGGAUGGGCAUGCGUGACAUUAGCUUGUUGGCGGGGUAACGGCCCACCAAGGCGACGAUGUCUAGGGGUUCUGAGAGGAAGGUCCCCCACACUGGUACUGAGACACGGACCAGACUCCUACGGGAGGCAGCAGUGAGGAAUAUUGGUCAAUGGGCGAGAGCCUGAACCAGCCAAGUCGCGUGAAGGAUGACGGCCCUAUGGGUUGUAAACUUCUUUUGUCAGGGAGCAAUUGGGUCCACGCGUGGGCUUAGCGAGAGUACCUGAAGAAAAAGCAUCGGCUAACUCCGUGCCAGCAGCCGCGGUAAUACGGAGGAUGCGAGCGUUAUCCGGAUUUAUUGGGUUUAAAGGGUGCGUAGGUGGAAUAUCAAGUCAGCGGUAAAAAUUCGGGGCUCAACCCCGUCGUGCCGUUGAAACUGAUGUUCUUGAGUGGGCGAGAAGUAUGCGGAAUGCGUGGUGUAGCGGUGAAAUGCAUAGAUAUCACGCAGAACUCCGAUUGCGAAGGCAGCAUACCGGCGCCCAACUGACGCUGAAGCACGAAAGCGUGGGUAUCGAACAGGAUUAGAUACCCUGGUAGUCCACGCAGUAAACG
rnacentral:rRNA from 1 species